GACGAACGCUGGCGGCGUGCUUAAUACAUGCAAGUCGAACGGACAGGCCCUGCUCUUGCGGGGUGCUCGAGUGGCGAACGGGUGAGUAACACGCGAGUAAACCGCCCUUGACUUUGGGAUAACUUCAGGAAACUCGGGCUAAUACCGGAUAUGAGCUCCGGCUCCAUGGUGGGGUUUGGAAAGUUUCGGCGGUUGGGGAUGGACUCGCGGCUUAUCAGCUUGUUGGUGGGGUAGUGGCUUACCAAGGCUUUGACGGGUAGCCGGCCUGGGAGGGUGACCGGCCACAUUGGGACUGAGAGACGGCGCAGACUCCUACGGGAGGCAGCAGUGGGGAAUAUUGCACAGUGGGCGGAAGCCUGAUGCAGCAACGCCGCGUGCGGGAUGACGGCCUUCGGGUUGUAAACCGCUUUCGCCUGUGAUGAAGCGUGAGUGACGGUAAUGAGUAAAGAAGCACCGGCUAACUACGUG
rnacentral:rRNA from 1 species